GCGGCGUGCCUAAUACAUGCAAGUCGAGCGAAUGGAUUAAGAGCUUGCUCUUAUGAAGUUAGCGGCGGACGGGUGAGUAACACGUGGGUAACCUGCCCAUAAGACUGGGAUAACUCCGGGAAACCGGGGCUAAUACCGGAUAACAUUUUGAACCGCAUGGUUCGAAAUUGAAAGGCGGCUUCGGCUGUCACUUAUGGAUGGACCCGCGUCGCAUUAGCUAGUUGGUGAGGUAACGGCUCACCAAGGCAACGAUGCGUAGCCGACCUGAGAGGGUGAUCGGCCACACUGGGACUGAGACACGGCCCAGACUCCUACGGGAGGCAGCAGUAGGGAAUCUUCCGCAAUGGACGAAAGUCUGACGGAGCAACGCCGCGUGAGUGAUGAAGGCUUUCGGGUCGUAAAACUCUGUUGUUAGGGAAGAACAAGUGCUAGUUGAAUAAGCUGGCACCUUGACGGUACCUAACCAGAAAGCCACGGCUAACUACGUGCCAGCAGCCGCGGUAAUACGUAGGUGGCAAGCGUUAUCCGGAAUUAUUGGGCGUAAAGCGCGCGCAGGUGGUUUCUUAAGUCUGAUGUGAAAGCCCACGGCUCAACCGUGGAGGGUCAUUGGAAACUGGGAGACUUGAGUGCAGAAGAGGAAAGUGGAAUUCCAUGUGUAGCGGUGAAAUGCGUAGAGAUAUGGAGGAACACCAGUGGCGAAGGCGACUUUCUGGUCUGUAACUGACACUGAGGCGCGAAAGCGUGGGGAGCAAACAGGA
rnacentral:rRNA from 1 species